rnacentral:lncRNA from 1 species
CAGGUAUUUAUACACAUCCACUUGUUAUCAUUUCUUUUCUUUCUUCUUUUUUUCCUUUUUUUUCUUUAUUUUUUAACCUUUUUCUUUCUCUUUUUUUAUCUUUCUUUAACUUUUAUCCCUUUUUCUGGAUAAGUGCCUCUUAUCCCUCCCACAAACCCUACUAAUUAUCACAAAUAUCUCUCUCUCUCUCUCUCUAUAUAUAUAUAUAUAGGUAAAUAUAUUUUAUUUUGUUAUUUCAGAUUUUUUCAUUUUUUAAAUAUUAGUGUAAGAAGAAAAGAAAAUGUCUAUAAAAGCCGGUGGAGGAAUACAUAUUAUUCAGUAUUCUAAUUUAUUAUUUAAAAUUAUAAAACUUGUAUUUUUAUUUAAUAUAUAUUCUAUAUUUUGAUUUUAGACUUUACAACGUCUUAUAUUAUAAUAUUGAAAUUUUCUAUACAUAGGCCACUCGUCCCCACUAAUUCCGCCGCUGUGUCAAUGUUGCCAACCUACCUAUAACUUUUGCACUGAGUUAGCUUGGGUUGCGGGUUUCUAAAAUAGCUGGUUUUUAAUUGCCUGCAAAAUAAAUAAUUCAGAUUGCGAAUUCAUUGGCUUAAUAAUGUAUAUUAGAAAGCUAAUGGUUCAAUCCCAAAUAUGGUGUUUUAGGAUAGCAUCUUGCGUUUGGAAUAUAAUUUAGUGACAUGUGAAUUACCAGGAACAACAACCUGGGAAUGUGGAGCACUGGAGCCAACGGUGGUGGAGCCGACCAGGAGUUGGGCGGUUCAGGCGAUGACUACUUGGAUGACUACUCAGGAAGCAGUUCUCCAGUGUCACCUCC